GACGAACGCUGGCGGCGCGCCUAACACAUGCAAGUCGAACGAGCGAGAGAGAGCUUGCUUUCUCGAGCGAGUGGCGAACGGGUGAGUAACGCGUGAGGAACCUGCCUCAAAGAGGGGGACAACAGUUGGAAACGACUGCUAAUACCGCAUAAGCCCACGACCCGGCAUCGGGUAGAGGGAAAAGGAGCAAUCCGCUUUGAGAUGGCCUCGCGUCCGAUUAGCUAGUUGGUGAGGUAACGGCCCACCAAGGCGACGAUCGGUAGCCGGACUGAGAGGUUGAACGGCCACAUUGGGACUGAGACACGGCCCAGACUCCUACGGGAGGCAGCAGUGGGGAAUAUUGCACAAUGGGGGAAACCCUGAUGCAGCGACGCCGCGUGGAGGAAGAAGGUCUUCAGAUUGUAAACUCCUGUUGUUGAGGAAGAUAAUGACGGUACUCAACAAGGAAGUGACGGCUAACUACGUG
rnacentral:rRNA from 1 species